rnacentral:tRNA from 1 species
AAUAAAAUGCCUGAUUAAAGGGCUAUCUUGAUAGGAUAGAAUAAGUGAAAAUUUCACUUUUAUUGC